rnacentral:lncRNA from 1 species
CCAAAGUGCCAGGAUUACAGGCCUGAGCCACUGCGCCCGGCUGCAUUGAAGUACAUUUUUAAAAUGAGGGCUCUCAGUAAAGUCCCUUUUGGCUAGGAACGGUUUUGGCACUACAGGAUGUCAACUGCUAUUCCCUUUGGAAUAAUCUGACUUGCACUCUUUGCUGAUGGCUGUGGGUGACAGGAUUAGGCAUGUACAGGAUUGUGGGACAUGGGGAGCUUUUUCCUCCCUCCCGGAAAAGGGAGAAACCUGAGAGCUGAUGAGACUGCUGGAAAAGAUCCUUUCGCUACUAACUAGUGGCCAUCAGAACUUUUCAGUGUCGCUGAAAUGAAUGGGUCUUGCUCUGGCCUCCCUGAGCUCUUCACCUUAUGCACCCUCCCACAGGCAAUACUUUCCUUCAUCUUAUUUUCCUUUCCUAUCUUUUCUGUUACUCAGGGCAACCAUCUUGCCCAGAGACCACAAGUUGAAACUCCUAGUCGGAGGUUUGAUUAAAGAUGAGGAGGGCCAUCUGAGGGCAAAUUUAAGCUUUGCCAGUUUGAUAUUGGGUGCUAAGCAGAGUGGCUAAUGUAUAUGUUUUAUCAUACAUAUUUUGCUCUAGCCAGAAUGAAAAAAAUAAUAAUUUUCCUUUAUGACGUGGCUUGGCCCCCAGCAGGAUGGUGCAGCAAGCUGGGUCACUAGAGCCACUCAGGGAAAGGGAGCCCAGAGCCUGGCAUGCCGGCCAAAAGGUAAAGAAAGCUUUUUAUGGUUCACUGAGGACAAUCCCUUCAUAAUCUAGAACCUGAAGAUUAGAUCUUCUGAAAACAUCAGAGAAAGACUGUCAUUGCCCUCCACACUACAGCAAAACUUUGGAGACUUGAACUUUGGGUCCAUAAUCUCACAACUGAGAAGGGUUCCUUCACACUCCUGGAACUGUACACCCAUUGGACCCCUUAAGCUAAUCUAACCAGGACAGUUUCUCCCCAGAAGAAGAUGACAUCCUUGAUGUGAACAGUUUUUCCCAAGAUCAUGGAUCAAGACUUCUGCUAUCACAAGACUCUGAUCUUUGAAUAUUUUUUCCUUGUGUAUGCCUCUAUGAGCAGUAUAAAUGAAAAGGAGGUCUAUUAUGUGCACUUAUAGGGUAUAAUUUUAUUUGUGAAGGAUUUUGCAGCCAGCCUUAUACAUGAAUAGCCUUAUACUUUAAUAGAUAAAAAAUGAAGGCCCAGUGUAGGUGAGAAACUUUAGU